GUAUCACCAAACAUGGCUUCAUUUAACUUUUUUAAAAAGAUAAAGGAGGCACUGUCUCCAAACAACAACCCUGAGGUAGUGUAUGCAGCCUGUUGCUUAUACGGGCUGCUUAAGGGACAUGGGAGACUCUG
ensembl:snoRNA SNORA70 Small nucleolar RNA SNORA70